AUGGGAACGCGAAGAACCUUACCUAGACUUGACAUCUCCUGAAUAGUGUAGAGAUACAUGAAGCCCUUCGGGGCAGGAAGACAGGUGGUGCAUGGUUGUCGUCAGCUCGUGUCGUGAGAUGUUGGGUUAAGUCCCGCAACGAGCGCAACCCUUAUUACUAGUUGCUACCAUUAAGUUGAGCACUCUAGUGAGACUGCCCGGGUUAACCGGGAGGAAGGCGGGGAUGACGUCAAAUCAUCAUGCCCCUUAUGUCUAGGGCAACACACGUGCUACAAUGGUGAGUACAGAUAGAUGCGAUACCGCAAGGUGGNGCCAAACUCUAAAACUCAUCCCAGUUCGGAUUGUAGGCUGCAACUCGCCUACAUGAAGUUGGAGUUGCUAGUAAUCGCGAAUCAGAAUGUCGCGGUGAAUACGUUCCCGGGUCUUGUACACACCG
rnacentral:rRNA from 1 species